GAUGAACGCUGGCGGCGUGCCUAAUACAUGCAAGUCGAGCGAACAGACGAGGAGCUUGCUCCUCUGACGUUAGCGGCGGACGGGUGAGUAACACGUGGAUAACCUACCUAUAAGACUGGGAUAACUUCGGGAAACCGGAGCUAAUACCGGAUAAUAUAUUGAACCGCAUGGUUCAAUAGUGAAAGACGGUUUUGCUGUCACUUAUAGAUGGAUCCGCGCCGCAUUAGCUGGUUGGUAAGGUAACGGCUUACCAAGGCAACGAUGCGUAGCCGACCUGAGAGGGUGAACGGCCACACUGGAACUGAGACACGGUCCAGACUCCUACGGGAGGCAGCAGUAGGGAAUCUUCCGCAAUGGGCGAAAGCUUGACGGAGCAACGCCGCGUGAGUGAUGAAGGGCUUCGGAUCGUAAAACUCGGUUAUUAGGGAAGAACAAAUGUGUAAGUAACUAUGCGCGUCUUGACGGUAACUAAUCAGAAAGCCACGGCUAAAUACGGGC
rnacentral:rRNA from 1 species